CUCUUCGCCGCCCUCCCGCCCCUUGCUUUUCCUCCGACAAGCGGGCGAGGUACCGCGCCUCGACCCGACACCGAGCAGAGGACGGGGGGCAACCACCACCCGAGCCUCCGGCGUCCGGUUCAGGGUUGGUGUAGAACAGACAAAUGCAGGUGUCGAUUUGCAGCUUCCUCCAUCUCUUCACCAAAAUUCAGAGCUUCCUCCUCAACUCCGGUCACCACCAACCCCAUCGUCAGGUGCAGCGCAGACCGGAUUGCAGCUUCCACUACAUCAGGUGGAGUUCACUAAUUCGCUUUUAGCAAUUACAAAAGCAGGCCCGAAGACCUUAUAUCUAUGUCUCCCUCUACAAGCAAGUUCUUUCUGUUUGUUCAGUUACGUGCAGUCUGCUCAGACAGGGUGCUAGGUAGAACCCAUGACAAUGUUGAUUGAGGGCCACUCCUCUUUCUCCUCACCUGGAAGCAAUUCAGUCUGUGGCAUCGUUGAUUGAAAAUGUUCUUCAGAAAAGGAAAAUUGGUUUCUUAUUCUUUGCCUUAAUAUCGUUGGUUCACAUAAACCGGCUGCUACUGAAUUUGUUGUAUGUGGACCUAUUAUGUUGAUGUCAUAUGAUAGAUUUCCAUCUAAAUAAGUUACCUAGCGAUAACCAACUGCAUUUGAAUUGAUCAAUAAUAUUGUUCCAUCUGUCAAAUUGUUUAAUUGCAUGCUCAACUAUAUUACACUUCGUGUUUUCCAUGGAUGAUAGCACUUGAAAGAAAUAAUAGUGGGAUCAUGCAAGUUCUAAUUCGUCUACAACGCAAGCCCUCGGCAACAAGGGCAAGACGGGGUUCACGCGUACCCAGUUCGACAAAAUGGCCGCCUAAGGCUCUGAAUCCAAUGCGUGCACGCUCACCGUGCUCAGCAGGAUCUAGGGCAGACACAUCCCGUGAUUUUCCUCUUUCUCUUUUAUCUUCAGAUUUUCAUGGUUUUGUGUCAUCGGAGUGUAGCUGUUCAAUAUCUGAAUUCUACUUGGUUCCAGCGUCAAUCAGCUGAGGUUAUACUCAGGUUCGUGACCUACCAUAUGGUGCAGUAGACACUGAGUCCCAUAUCAUUUUGCUUCAUAUGCCAUUACCUGUUCAUGUCUUGGUUGUGUCUAUUUUUCCAGAUUUGUAUGUAUGUCCUCAUUGUAUUUGCUAUUUGUUUGCAUUUGACAUCUCAAUCAAAUAUUCUGUCCUAGGCAUUUUUGUGUUGGGGAGGGUGAGAUUUUACAUUGACUUGAUAUAUCGUUGUGUACGUAGCACAACAGUGUAGAAAAAUAACAUGAGAAAAGGUUUUCAUUAAAAACUUGCCUAUUGUUGCACUUGUUCAUAAAAUAGCAUCUGAACUAAUCCAAGGAAAUUAUGGUAGUGGUCCAAAGUAGUCCAACAACAACAGUAGUGAAUUGCAAAGUGGUGACCUUUCUAAUACUUCAAAACAUACCAAGAGUUGUUUGGUCAUUUGAGCUCGAUCAACAGUUUGUAAAUGAAGUUAAUCACCUUGGAAUAGAUAUUAAGCUUUUGUUACCUGCUUGUGUACCUUUUUAUCAAAUUUUUUUGUUCAUUCGUAUACUUUACCGCAAGUAUGUUAUACCAAUUAAGUCCUUCCAGAUUGGUUUUAUCAAGUAAUUUUGGUUACUGCUGAACACUUGUGCUUUCGAAGUCAUAAUAUAUAUCAUUUAAGUUAUAAUUUUGUACAGUUCCCAAGAAAGUCUUGGGGUUGAUGAAUGUCUCUUGUUUAGCAUGAUGUAUUGGACUUAUCAUUUGUGUUUACUGGUGACUUUUUGGAGAAUUUUAUUAUUUAUCUAGACUGGUGAACGAUAGUAUUGUUAUGUACAUUUUACUCGGGGUGCCCUGCUCGAAGAAUUUGCUCUAGCUUAGUUAGAAAUGUAGAUUCAAGACAUUCUGGUGGAAUUAACUUUAGGCUUUCAGUAUUCUUUUAGCAACUACCGUUUCGAUCCACGUUUUGCUCUAAAAUGUAUUACAUCAAGUUUUUUUAUUUAAUUGCUAAAUAGCACCAGAACACAAAUUAGCCAUUUUGUAAUUUGGGAGUUUUCUGGCUAGAAGCAUUGUUUAAUGUUUUGGUGGUGACAUGUCAGUCAUCUCCAUUAUGCAUUUUCAAACUUGAUUAUUCCAUCAGUUCCAAGAACUUCUAUUGCCUGAUGUCUGAUGUCUGUUGAGCCCAAACUAUCCUUAUUACCCCCAGAUUCAUCAUAUAGCAGUUGAUAGUUAAUGUUUGCUUUCAGCCAGACAUGCAAUAUGUUGUGCAGAUUUCCUUGCAGUAACUUUAUGUCAGUUUAGAGCAGAUAAUUGUAGUGACACAAAUCGCUGGAACAUGAACCUCCAUAUUACUUUCUUUCUCUAGCAAAGCCCUUAUUUUAGUCAGGCUCCAUAUGGUCAUGCUAAUUCUGAAAAUAUCCUUUCUUGGUCUCAUAGAACAUAUGGUAACUGGUCAGAUCCAAAUUCAUACAAACUCAUUGCCCAAACUACAUUGACCACCACCACAGCUAAAAAAUAUCAAUGUCUCCUCACGCACUGUUACAAAGGUGUUCCAUGGCAGACAACCAACUCCUUGACGAUCUCUUCAGCCUGCAAGUAUAGAUUCACCGCCUCUCUGGAUCUGUGUGCUCUAAUCAUGAUGAUCAGGAAGCUCAUGUUGAAGCUCAAUGCCUCAAUUUUCUUUGUGACUCAAAGCAAUAACAGCAAGCAUACAGUCUGCCUAGAGCUGCUAUGUUGAGAGACUAUGUGUAUUUUUAGAUGUUGGAAUCCGUUACACUUCAAUCCCUGUGAUUUAGGUAAAAGGUUUUUCUAUUGCAAAACAAUGAAAUUUUGGGUGCCUCGAUUUGUUACAAAAAAUCAAUACUCCCUCCGUCCCGGUUCAUAGGGCUUGCGUGUAUCCCGUAUGCCUUAAAUUUAACAAUGAUAAUGUAAAAUAUAUACUACAAAAUAUAUAUAAUUAAAAAGCUUAGAUUCCCUACUUUAUAAUGAUAUAAUUUUUAUGUUGUAAAAUUUAUAUUAUGUUGGCCAAAUUGAAAAUCUAGGGAUACGCGCAAGCCCUAUGAACUGAGACGGAGGUAGUAUCUUCAUUCUCAUGAGCUCGACUUAUCGAAUAUUGAAGAAUAAAUAUCAUGAUAUGUCAUCUGUUUCACCAAAAACUAAGCUUGUUUGUUUAGUAAUCUUAAUGAAACAAUUCUUACCUCAUAUGUAAUUCAACAAUUGUUGAGAGUGAUCAUUCUCUGAGAACAAAGUUAGUUUUAAUUUUUUAGUGGGAUAUAUCAGGUCAGGUGGUCGCUGAUUAUGGAUGCCAACCAUGGGGGCGCCCUGUUUGAAGACUAUAUAUGGCUAAUGAUGAAUGGAUAUUGUCUGAGGGUUAUCUCAAUUUAUUUUACUCACUCGGACUUCUAUAAAUUCCUAUGCCACUAUUUUUUUUUGAGAGUUAUUGAGUAUUCUGAUCUAAAAUGAUAUUUUAUUUCCGAAUUUUGUAAAAUGUUUGAGCUCAGGCUUCGUGAGUAUGAGAUAAUGAUGACGGAUGAGCUCAGAUUAGAAAGCUCACGUUUGUUAAUCUAUAUACUGCUAAGUGCUAACCAAGCUUUUGUCGACAGGAGCGACAGUAACUGGCGGCUAGCGGACCAGCGCGGUCAAGGGGGAGCAGAUUAGUAGACACACACGAACUGAAGGAAGGUGUCCAAGCAUGAUGGUCAUUACAAGCCUUGAGCAACGGAAAGCCCUACAGCGUACUAUCCUAUUUUGUCAACAGCUGUAUCCAACGUACUCGGCACACAAGCUACUGUCCCCUGUUGUGUUAUACAUCCAAAUGUAGUGGUGUUGUGUUUGCAACCAGAUGUAGUGGCAGGAAUAAAUACGACAAUGUUCUUGUGUAGAUACUUGUUUCUCAUGUAACAUGUAGCAAUGGUCAUGCAACCUCAAUGUUCUUGGUGAAAUGAAUAGACCUGCACCGUGUGAA